GAGAAAUAAAAAUCUAAAAUAGUACAAUUGUCCUCAUUUUAGGUGGACGGACAGAUGACUACAGAAAUAUCUCUCUUCAGCUCAGAAGUGUUGGACAGAGGAGAAAGCGUGAUGAUCCAGAGGAAACCUCUGACUACCAUAAUGUAGAUCCAAACUCAGCUACAGGUCCCUAAAGAGAGGCACAGCAUCAAUAAAACAAGAGAAGGUGGACCGCAACAUGAAAGAGAAAAACUUUAAUUCUUAAACUUUUGAACAUUAACAUUUUUACACCUGCUUGAUAUUAAAGUCGACUCACAUCGUGAUGCUAUAGGCAGAAGUUGUUAAAGCUAAGUUAAGAAGAGAGGUGACAGUCAGUGAUAUGGCAGCAUGUGGCUUCAUGCUGAGAAAGACGUAUAAGGAAGGUCAGAGGGAGCUUCACUGUGUCUUUGUGGAUCUAGAGAAAGGAUAUGGUGCCAAGCGUGUGGGGUACUGCAUGAGGAUGUCAGGAGUAGCAGAGAAGUAUGUGAAGGUGGUGCAGGACAUGUAUGAGGACAGUGAGACAGCAGUGAGGUGUGUAGCUGUAACUUAGCAGUUCAAGCUGGGGGUGGGAUUACAUCAGGAAUCAGCUCUGAGCCCCUUCUUGUUUGCAGGGGUGAUGGACAAGAUGACAGAUGAGGUCAUGCAGGAGUCUCUGUGGAUUAUGGUGUUUGCAAACAACAUUAUGAUGUGUAGUGAGAGGAGGGAGUAUGUGGAAGAGAGGCUGGAGAGGAGGACGCAUGCACCGGAAAGAAGAGGAAUGAAAUUCAGUAGAAGCAAGACAGAACACACGUGUAUGAAUAGGAGACAGUUUAACAGUGAAGCUGCAAGGAGUAGAGGAAGUGAAGGUGGAUAAGUUCAACCGAGAGCCCCAAAGAGAGUGUAGGUAUUGUAGG